GGCUGUCGUAAAAACCCUAUUUGUAAACAACCAGCCCUUUAACUCGGGGCUGCGUCAUAAACACGGCGCGCUUGGAAGACCACGAUGUCAUCUUCCUUCUGUCAGGAGGAUCCAAGUGAAGCUACAGGAGUUUCAUUAACGUCAACAACUUGGACCAAACAGUUUGUUUUGCUUGAUGAAGAGCAGGAAGGGCAGCCUGGAGAGAAAGAGAAGCCGGGUUGAGCCCACUACCAUCAUCCACGUACCACGAGGAAGAUGAGGGAGAGAAAUGAUCCUACCAUUAAAGAGACUGUGAAAAGAACGUUGAGAACAUCACCACUCUACAGGAAGACACAGUCCAGUAAUGGGUGUCAGAAGUUCAGUAGUGAACGACAGAAACAAACAAUCCAAAUUACCUGCAGAAAGCCCUUGAUGGACGCUUCAGCUGCAUCGUCAGACUGGCAGUACUGAUGCAUUUACUGAGACGGGACGUGAGGGCCUACUCUGCGUGCUCAGAGUUCAAGCCCAGCAGGCUGCAGCGGGCCUGACAUAUUCUGGAACAGCAGCACAGUCUUUGGAUGACUCCUCUGAAGAUGAAAACAUGGCGAGUUCUUCUCAAGAGAAGCAGUACAGGUGUGCCUCAGCUCCACGGUCCCUCCUGCAGCCUCCGCUCCUGAUGCUAACCUCAUGUCUCCAUCACACCAAGCAGCAGACCUGGAUUGACAGACCUUUCUCCAGAGCUGCCCCCUCCCUCUGAAACCCCCCUCUCCAAAACACUAUUUGUGUAGUUUUUAAAGUAUUUUUUGCAUGAGAAUUGUUGAUCAUAACAUUUCCAGCAGAUGCCUUAAUAUAAUGUUUGUGCACAAUA